rnacentral:rRNA from 1 species
AACGAACGCUGGCGGCAUGCCUAACACAUGCAAGUCGAACGAGACCUUCGGGUCUAGUGGCGCACGGGUGCGUAACGCGUGGGAACCUGCCCUUAGGUUCGGACUAACUCCCCGACAGGGGUGCUAAUACCGGAUAAUGUCUUCGGACCAAAGAUUUAUCGCCUUUGGAUGGGCCCGCGUUGGAUUAGCUAGUUGGUAGGGUAAAAGCCUACCAAGGCGACGAUCCAUAGCUGGUCUGAGAGGAUGAUCAGCCACACUGGGACUGAGACACGGCCCAGACUCCUACGGGAGGCAGCAGUGGGGAAUAUUGGACAAUGGGCGAAAGCCUGAUCCAGCAAUGCCGCGUGAGUGAUGAAGGCCUUAGGGUUGUAAAGCUCUUUUACCCGGGAUGAUAAUGACAGUACCGGGAGAAUAAGCUCCGGCUAACUCCGUG